AAUGACGCGACAUGAAUUUGGCUUUGAUUCUCGAUUAAUAUGAUACUUAUGUAUGAUAGGAGCCUGAAUAUUUGUACUAGCUGUCUGUGGAUUAUUAUGUAUGAUUGUUAUAUCGUAUCGUUAUUACAGAUUGGUACAGAUUCAAACAGAUUGGUUUUGGAAUGUACGUGUAUUCAAGUGUUUUCACACUUGAAUGCUCUUCUCUUCUCCUUCAAUCGAAUACCAUGAAGUAUACGUUUCUCAAAUCUCUUCAGCCUCUAUCUUUCAAAAACUCGAAGAACACUUAGGAACAAUGAAACGUGAACAAAGUCAUCUCUUCUACUCGUAAAUCCUCCAGAUAUCUUCUCUGAGACUGAAAGUCUCGAUGACCGUGAUAUAAAUCGCACGAACAGCCCCUGGUGACUUUGCAACUGCCGCCAGAUUCCAUGCAGCGACUGUACGAGUUUCGUUCUCUGUGACUACUCUCCACGUCUUCAUCUCGACCGAUUCUCCGUCACGAUUCAUAGGGGUAUAGGUAAACGACAUCCGCGUCCGAGUGGGCACGUGCGUGUGCCUCUGCGUUCGCGUGUCCCGUAGUUUGUGUCGUUGACUGAGGGUGGUGGUGGUCGUGUGAUGGUAGUGGCGAAAAGGGGGAAAAGGGUGACGGAGGAGGGAGAGCAAGCACGUGUGAGGACGUAGUACGAUUUACUCGCAGAUCGGUGGAACGUCUUCCUCGUUCCCUCCCUCGCCCUCUUUCUCGUCGAUGAGCUGUCUUUCUUUCUCUUCCACCCCUUCCCCCUAUCGCGUACUUCUCUUCCUCAUUCUCCUCCUCUUCGUCGUUCCUCCUCCUCCACCUCUUCCUCCUCCUCCGCCUUCUCCUCCUUCACCACCUCUUCCUCCUACCACUGACAUUAUACUACUACUACGGGGUACUCCACUUUCAUUCAGUCGCUUCUAAAAAUAAAGUCCCUGAUUCACAAUGCAUGAAUGACAAUCACACUGAAAGGAAUACCGCACAGACUUGUAGCCUUUCUCACUCUCUUUCCCCCCUAUCUCAUUCCCUCUAACCGUCCCAUGUCUUCUUUGUCUCUCUUGUCGAUCUCCUGCUCUUGCGAUUUUCCCUCUCCCUCCGCCUUUCUGUUGUAUGUGUCCUGUCUCGUUCUACCAUUCCCGAAGCACUCUCUCUCGCUCUCUUUUCGCUCCUAUCACUCUCGCCUCUCCUGUCUCGCUUCUUUUUCCAACCUGUUCUCUCGUUCCCUGGCGCCAACCCCCCUUUCUCCCUCCUCUCUCUCACUCUCACUCUCUCUCUCUCUCUUUCUCUCUGUGUCUAUGUAUGUAUAUAUAUGCCUGCCUCUGUGUGUAUAUGUGUCGUACUCUCUUGUAAGAGAGUGAAAUCUCGGUUCGCCUGUUGCAUCGAACUAUUGGUUGGUUCCGUGUAAAUAGAUCCCGUGGAAAUUCGAAGUAGCAUUGCCGCGUUGCGCCGGCCUGAUCGAUCGGAGGGAUCGAUCUCGUACCGGAGAACUUGUUGCACAUCGUGCCAGAUUUUACAAAUGUCACGGUCCGAUGUUUGAAUUGGCAUCACAGAGUAUGUACGUCCGUUUGAAUAAACGUUAUCGUUUGCUCGUACUAUCCGAUGGUAAGUCGAGGAAUAGGAAGCAGUUGGAGAAUAGUUACUGAAACGUUUCUCUGCUCGUAGGUGUUUGGGCGAAGCGGUGGCUGCUUCUUUCGAGGAUAAAUAAGAAGUUUGAUAUUGCAGAGGAUGAAAAAUUCUUGGUAGAGUUCGCAAGACUGAUACGAUAACGAAGCGAGCUAUCUAAAGCAAGAUCGUAUCGCUGGCUGAUAAACGAAUUCUGCGAGGAAAACAAGUGUAGAUUCAACAAGAUAUCGUUGGUACUGCGUUGUGACAGUUCCAGGCGAUGUGCGUGUUCGUUUUAAAGUACAUGUAUAAUUAAAGUAUAGCGAUGAAGGCAUAUAACAGGAUCUCAUGCAAUUUAUUAUCCAUAUAAUUACAGAAUUCUUAAUGUAUUAAGUCAAGAAAACGAGAAGGGUUCGUUUUACGAAGAUGAACAACGAAGAUAGCAACCGGAAAUACCAGCUAUAAUUUGGGAAUGCACAAUUGUCCCGUAACGCUCUGAAGGUUCACGGAAAUAGGGGCGAGUAACCCUGAAUAUCUCGUGAAGUUCUCGACUCGAAGCACCCAAGGAGAACUGGUUUCAACUCAUCAUAGUCACCUAGCUGUUCACGAUACGGCAUUCCAAAAUAAAAAGCAGAAUAAUCAAAUGUCCCUGAAAACAGCAAAACACUGCCGAAUUCAAUAAUAUUGCUUGAAGCUGUUUUAAGGUCUACAGGUAUUUCGAAAAUUCUUCAGUGAAGAAUUAACCGCGAGGAGAGUUAUAUUAACUCGUAUAUAUAAAAGACCUACUUUCAUCACCCUUGUUGAAGUUACUCACGCGAAACAUCCUUGUUAGUAGAUAAUCCUAUAAUAAAUACAGCCUACGGAAACAUCAAGACACUUCAAAUUCUUCUUGCGAAAGAAAUUGCAGCAACAUCCAACGGUGCUAUAAAAUUAUGGCAAACGUUUGCGAACGUUUAUCCACUUACGAUAUUCCAAACGACUACAUGAAAAAUUAAAUAUCUCUUUAAAAUCAAAAUGCAUCGUGGUUGAAAUGCAUCAGAAGUUAAAGAAAAAGUGACUCCAGUUCUUGAAGAAAAGAGAAAAAUAAUUCAAAGUCGGAUAAUUCCAAGAUUAAAAUAUCUCUCUAGUUGAACCAUGACUACGACAAUCCUGGACUCUAAUCUGACUGCAAGAUUUCAGCGAAGGGACAACUUUGUGUCCAAGAGUUUCCCUUGACGAGACUCCCUCGUUAUUAUCCGCCGCUGCGAGCCUCUACUCUAACUAAAGAGAGACUUUAGAGUGCAAGACAGAGCUAUAGGUAGAAAGAGCAGCAGUACCAGCAGCUCGAACCGCUCACAGCUAAAUAUAUCUCUCUCUCUAGAGUUACUCAAGGUCACAGCGCUUGGAUUGGCCCACGAUAAAGCGCAGCUCCGUACCCGUCCCUCGGCCUGGCCUUAUGCUUCGUUCGCACACAUUCUGCCGCGCCGUGGCCCACAUGUCACUUCGCGACAAUGUCGUAUACCAGCCGCAUCGGGUACACGUGUUCGAUCGAACGCAGCAAUAGUCACUCCGCAUGCGAGCCGUAUUUUCCUAUAUAGUCACGUCUACACCUUUCGAUCUUUUUCCCCAUUGUUCUGUUUCAUUAGUCACAAUCACAAUUUCGCAUUAGUUCGCGAUCAAAAUUCUGUGUUCUCGUUUUACUCACGCUCCGUCGUUUUUUGGAACGUUUAUCUCUUUAAAUCUCACGGAACACUUUCGAUCUCUUUCGAUCAUCGAAUUUUUAAAUCUUCACUAUUUUUGCAUUUUGGUUUUAAAGUAGAGUAUUUUAUGGAAGUUGAUUCUUUUUAUGAGUAAAAUUGCCUGUUUUCUUUAAGUUAAAUAUUAAAAUUAGGUAUUUCUGAGAAAUAUAAAUUACAGUAACAAUAAUAUGUGUGAUAAAAAAAAAGAUAUUUCGGAGAUAGUAUCAUUAGCCCGUUCAGGAAAUAUACGAUAUAUUGCAUACGUGAUGUUAUUAUUAUUCUAUGAGGCACGUAUACUGACUUCCGGGUAAACCAUAGACACGGAAAGAGAGUGUGACCUGUUGCUGACGACAAAUAAUUGGCGAGUUACAGGUCGCUCUUUAGAAACACCAACAGAAAGGCGUAGAAUCUAUGGGGCGUAUGUUCCGUAAUAAUGUAUACGCAAUGUAGGAUCUUACAAACAAUGGCGUAGGCUUCAAUGCAGCUUAAGUCCAUUAUAAAAUUAUUUACAUUUUAUUAA